UCACUGGUCACACACACACGCACGCACACGCGCUUUAAAAAAGGUGUUGGGUUCAGGUACCGUUUGGAUGCUGAGAUGCAUGCUAAUUGUUGGAAACCAGACCAAGGAGUAAAAUGAAAAGGAAACAAAAAUAUGCCUCAUCCAGCGGACGCCGGACGUCUUGGAGGAUCUCGGGCCGAGCUCGUUGAAUCCCAGAGAUGAUGUGGCACAAGGGAACAAACUAUCCUCAAACAGCUUCCUACUCUGGAGGCUUUGGGCUUUCAGACACUCAUAGUCCUGACCCAGAAACUUUACAGCCUUGUGAUUCUGUCCCAGACCAUCAUCACGAUCCCACUGGCUCCUCAGCUUGGCGGCCAUGCCCGUCGCGUAAAUGUGCUCCUCCAUCCUGACUUGUGGAGGUAACUGUAGGUUGGGCUGUCACUCUCUGAUGGGUGUUUGUGUGUAUGGAACUACAAUAAGAUGUGUAAAAAAAAACAAUGAGGGAACAGUGUAGCUACAGUUUAGAUGUAAAGCAACACACAGCGCUAUCAUGAAUCAGAAUGAAACAUCAGUGGCCAUUAAGAAGAUAUGAAAUAUUGACCAGGCUGCCGCUUGGUUGUGGUACUUGUGGUUCUGCUAUAGCCGGAUGCUUACA